UCUAGCAUCACAAGUAUUAGAGGCA
rnacentral:piRNA from 1 species